rnacentral:rRNA from 1 species
AUUGAACGCUGGCGGCAGGCCUAACACAUGAAAGUUGGGCGAGCGGCGGACGGGUGAGUAAUGUAUGGGGAUCUGCCUGAUGGAGGGGGAUAACUACUGGAAACGGUAGCUAAUACCGCAUACCAUCAGAUGAACCCAUAUGGGAUUAGCUUGUAGGUGAGGUAACGGCUCACCUAGGCGACGAUCCCUAGCUGGUCUGAGAGGAUGAUCAGCCACACUGGGACUGGGCCACGGCCCAGACUCCUACGGAAGGCAGCAGUGGGGAAACUUGCAAAAUGGGCGCAAGCCUGAUGCAGCCAUGCCGCGUGUCUGAAGAAGUCCUUCGAGUUGUAAAGUACUUUCAGUCGAGAGGCGUUACCGGCAGAAGAAGCACCGGCUAACUCCGUGCCAGCAGCCGCGGUAAUAC